GGUACCAUCCCUCUCGGCCGUCGCAUCAUCUCCCAGCAGUUCCUGGGCGCUCUGCCCCCUGAGAUCCAGGCCUGGGUGCGGGGCCAGAGGCCAGGCAGCCCAGAGGAGGCUGCUGUUCUGGUCGAGGGCCUGCAGCAUGACCCUGGGCAGCUGCUCAGCUGGAUUACAGCGCACGUCCUGAAGCGGGCAGUGCUUCCAGCAGCACAGAAGACAGAGAAAUCUGUGAGGAGCUCCCACCCUUCAGAGCCAGUGGAGCCCCUCAGGGCAGCCUCUGGGGAGGGGUCCAACGAUGCGCAGAUGGAGGGGGGUGCCCAUCCCAGCUGCAGUGUGAAGGAGGAGCCUGCUGGCUAUGGGCAGGAGACCGCACCCUCCAGCCCCCUAAACCCAGCCACGUCCCAUGAGAGGUGCCUCGAACGACAGGAACCGACCUCUGCGCCUUUCCACCCGUCUAGGAUUCAGGUCAGCAGCCCCUGGUGGCAGGUGCAGGCCUGCGGUGGGUAGAGGGAGUUCCUGGUGACCACUCUCUGCCCUGCCAGUUGUCCAGGUUCCUUGGCCAGCACCUCUGUUCUUUGCUGCCCCAAAAUGGAGUUGGUGUCAGGGCACCCCUUGCAGGCCCUGGGGCACAGAGGGACAGACCUGCGCUUGGAAGGUAUCUUGGGAGUUCCUGUUGUGGUGCA
rnacentral:lncRNA from 1 species